GGCUGCAGACUUGCACUCUCAGACUUGCACGCUCAGACACGAGCGCUUCCGCUGCAAGUGACGUCAGACUUGCACGCUCAGACACGAGCGCUUCCGCUGCAAGUGACGUCAUUUGCAAUCGACACCUGCUCUCCGCUACCUGUGAACUCACGUGCAAUCGACGGCGCAUAGUGUGUCUCGUGGCGGAUUGGGAACAAUUCCAAUGUCGUUAAAAAUCGUUUCUAUGCAUCAUGCACCAUUCAGUCAUUUUAGUUUCUGAAAGCCCCCUGGUACCACAGUGCACAUCAUGUUGCGCUUUGUAUCACUGCAGUUUAUGCCCUUCUCUGAAGCCAACCACCCUGAAAAAAAUAAAGCUACACUGGGAAGGCCAUUUAAAAAAAGCAGUUGUUUUCCAAG